rnacentral:rRNA from 1 species
CAGCCGCCACGGGAAUACGUAGGGUGCAAGCGUUAAUCGGAAUUACUGGGCGUAAAGCGUGCGCAGGCGGUUAUAUAAGACAGAUGUGAAAUCCCCGGGCUCAACCUGGGAACUGCAUUUGUGACUGUAUAGCUAGAGUACGGCAGAGGGGGAUGGAAUUCCGCGUGUAGCAGUGAAAUGCGUAGAUAUGCGGAGGAACACCGAUGGCGAAGGCAAUCCCCUGGGCCUGUACUGACGCUCAUGCACGAAAGCGUGGGGAGCAAACAGGAUUAGAGACCCCCGUAGUCCCUGUCUCUUAUAC